UACGAGGGGGGCAAAUGUUGUUCGGAAUCACUGGGCUUAAAGCGCGCGUAGGCGGAUGUUUAAGUGUCUUGUGAAAUCCCACGGCUCAACCGUGGAACUGCUGGGCAUACUGGACAUCUCGAGGCACUCAGGGGCGAGCGGAACAAGUGGUGGAGCGGUGAAAUGCGUAGAUAUCACUUGGAACGCCAAUGGUGAAGACAGCUCGCUGGGGGUGUCCUGACGCUGAGGCGCGAAAGCCAGGGGAGCGAACGGG
rnacentral:rRNA from 1 species